AACGCGAAGAACCUUACCAGCCCUUGACAUGUCCCGUAUGAGUACCAGAGAUGGAACUCUUCAGUUCGGCUGGCGGGAACACAGGUGCUGCAUGGCUGUCGUCAGCUCGUGUCGUGAGAUGUUGGGUUAAGUCCCGCAACGAGCGCAACCCUCGCCCUUAGUUGCCAUCAUUUAGUUGGGCACUCUAAGGGGACUGCCGGUGAUAAGCCGCGAGGAAGGUGGGGAUGACGUCAAGUCCUCAUGGCCCUUACGGGCUGGGCUACACACGUGCUACAAUGGCGGUGACAAUGGGACGCAAUGGGGCAACCCUGCGCAAAUCUCAAAAAGCCGUCUCAGUUCGGAUUGUGCUCUGCAACUCGAGCACAUGAAGUUGGAAUCGCUAGUAAUCGCAGAUCAGCACGCUGCGGUGAAUACGUUCCCGGGCCUUGUA
rnacentral:rRNA from 1 species